rnacentral:rRNA from 1 species
AGUGAACGCUGGCGGUAGGCCUAACACAUGCAAGUAGAACGGCAGCACAGUAAGAGCUUGCUCUUACGGGUGGCGAGUGGCGGACGGGUGCGGAAUACAUCGGAAUCUACUUUUUCGUGGGGGAUAACGUAGGGAAACUUACGCUAAUACCGCAUCCGACCUACGGUUGAAAGCAGGAGAUCUUCGGACCUUGCGCGAUUGUAUGAGCCGAUGUCGGAUUCGCUAGUUGGCGGGGUAAAGGCCCACCAAGGCGACGAUCCGUCGCUGGUCUGAGAGGAUGAGCCGCCACACUGGAACUGAGACACGGUCCAGACUCCUACGGGAGGCAGCAGUGGGGAAUAUUGGACAAUGGGCGCAAGCCUGAUCCAGCCAUACCGCGUGGGUGAAGAAGGCCUUCGGGUUGUAAAGCCCUUUUGUUGGGAAAGAAAAGCAGCAGGUUAAUACCCCGCUGUUCUGACGGUACCCAAAGAAUAAGCACCGGCUAACUUCGUG